UUUAUGGGAGUGUGGGUUGGGUUGAUUUUUAAGUAAGAAAACAAUCAUACACACGCACACACACACACACACAAACACAAACACAAACACACAUAUUCCAUCCCUGUGAGCAAGAUGAUGCAUGCUAACCGCAGGUGGUAUAGUAAGUGUUAGUGUAGAUGUCACCAUAAUAACACCUACCAUUUUAAACCUGGCUUUCAUUUAUUAAAUACUUACCAGGUAAAUACUCUUACUUGUCUUGUGGUCUUGGGCAAGUUACAUGUGCUUUGAAUCUCUGCUAUGUAUAAUUUAACUGAAAUUUAAUUUAAAUUAAUUUAAUUAAAAUUUUAUUUCAUUUGUAUGAGUAUAGUAUCUCUACCUCAUAGGAUUAUUGUGAGAAGAUGAUGUGAUGUGGGACACAGAUGGCCACUCUCUUUUUUCCAUUUCCCCUAAGGGUUUAACACAAUGUUGAGAGAGAAAUAAUAGUGGUAUGGACUGAUAUCAACGCAUGAAGUGGUUGCCUUGGAAAGUGAGUGGGUGCUUGGACUUGAGACGAGACUGAUGGACCACUGCGAUGCUCUUCACAUCCAGUGGAAGCAGGGAGUCGCUGCGUGCUCUGCCUCAGGCAGUCAGGGCUGAAGGAAGGAAGCCUGGGUGCUCAGCACCCUGGGUGAUCGGCUGAGCUUCUGAAGACUGUUCAGUGAUAUGUCACAGGUGCCAUAAAGGAAUGUUUCUGACUUUGUAA